rnacentral:lncRNA from 1 species
GUUACUUGAUUAGGAGGAAGAAGUCCUGUGACUGCAAAACGCAGGAUCUCAACAGCUACAACCUCCAGCCUCAUUGCUCUUUCGUUUUCUUCUAUCUCAGACUCCAGGGCAGCAACAAGUUGAUACUUCACAGCUCAGGGAGGAUCUGAGCAAUUCAGAGAAUAAUUUAGCGUGGAUUAAUUGGAGACCCAUUGUGGAAGCGAAGAUGUUUGAAACAGAAGGAAGAAUCAAAGAGAGGAGAGAUGCUCUUUUUUGUUGUUGUUCUCUCUUCUAGUUUUUAAUUCUCUCCUCUCUGGAAAGAAGUGAUGAGCACGCAGUUUGAGCUUUAGGCAUAAUUGCAUGACUCCAUCCUCCUCUGCUCAAGAGGAUUUUGGAAAUGGAAAACUACAGAAGAUGCUGAGUGGCCACAUUUAAAGAAGACAGUGCUCUUAAUAGGAUAUAAAAACAGAAGCUCCAGAAUGUGGGUCAAAAACUUACCUUUUCAGGCCCCAUGAGAACACCAAAUUCUGUCUAGUGUGGAUCCUGCAGCUGGCAAAUUGCCAGAAAGUGCUAAAAAAUAAAUGCAAAGAGCUUUUCAAAAGACUCUGAAAAAUAUUUAUCUAAAUGAGAAAUGUUGCCCCAUUUCAUGUGUGUGUUUAGCCUGUGUGAAGAAGUACCUUAGCGCUCACUCUCUAGUUCUAAAAAGUAAUAUACUAUUCACUCCUUUUUCAGUGUUUUUGAAUGUAUUUUUAAUAUUUCCUUGGGUCAUCCUAGGAACAUCAUUUUCUGUUUUUCCUGUAAAGCAAGGAUGCCCUCAGAGGACGUUAGAGUCCCAUUUGUCUCCACUGCAAAUGGCCCCAGGAUGCUGUUCUUUCUUGAUGCUCCUGUGGCAUCGUUCACUACCAACUCUGGCAAUUCUUAAGGGGAAGUGAAUAGAAGCAAUGGAAUUUUGAUGCACUUGACCAAGACUCUUGUCUUAACAAUUUGUGAUUAUGACCACCCAAUUGGACUUUCAAACUGACAACUGAGUGAGAACCUGUGGAUCCUUAAGGACGAACCUGGGAUGCCUGCCUCCUGCCUUGGGCUCUCUUCAGCAUCAAAAUUAUUACAGUCUAUGAAAUGUCACAACCAAAUACGAAAUGUUACAACUAAAUAAAGAAUUCAUUAGCUCAAUUUCUCUGUUUUCA